CGGGGUGUGGCGCAGCUGGUAGCGCGCUUGCUUUGGGAGCAAGAUGCCGCAGGUUCAAAUCCUGUCACUCCGACCA
rnacentral:tRNA from 1 species